rnacentral:rRNA from 1 species
GAUGAACGCUAGCUACAGGCUUAACACAUGCAAGUCGAGGGGCAGCACAGUGUAGCAAUACAUGGGUGGCGACCGGCGCACGGGUGCGUGACGCGUAUCCAACCUUCCCGUUACUCUUGGAUAGCCUUCCGAAAGGGAGAUUAAUACAAGAUGGUAUUCAAAUUCCGCAUGUUAUUUGAAUUAAAGAUUUAUCGGUAACGGAUGGGGAUGCGUGACAUUAGAUAGUAGGCGGGGUAACGGCCCACCUAGUCUACGAUGUCUAGGGGUUCUGAGAGGAAGGUCCCCCACACUGGAACUGAGACACGGUCCAGACUCCUACGGGAGGCAGCAGUGAGGAAUAUUGGUCAAUGGUCGGAAGACUGAACCAGCCAAGUAGCGUGAAGGAUGAAGGUUCUAUGGAUUGUAAACUUCUUUUAUACGGGAAUAAAACCUCCCACGUGUGGGAGCUUGUAUGUACCGUAUGAAUAAGCAUCGGCUAACUCCGUGCCAGCAGCCGCAGUAAGAC